GACGAACGCUGGCGGCGUGCUUAACACAUGCAAGUCGAACGCUGAAGCCCAGCUUGCUGGGUGGAUGAGUGGCGAACGGGUGAGUAACACGUGAGUAACCUGCCCCCUUCUUUGGGAUAACGGUCGGAAACGGCUGCUAAUACUGGAUAUUCACUGGCCUUCGCAUGGGGGUUGGUGGAAAGGUUUUUUCUGGUGGGGGAUGGGCUCGCGGCCUAUCAGCUUGUUGGUGGGGUGAUGGCCUACCAAGGCUUUGACGGGUAGCCGGCCUGAGAGGGUGACCGGUCACAUUGGGACUGAGAUACGGCCCAGACUCCUACGGGAGGCAGCAGUGGGGAAUAUUGCACAAUGGGCGAAAGCCUGAUGCAGCGACGCCGCGUGAGGGAUGACGGCCUUCGGGUUGUAAACCUCUUUCGCUCAUGGUCAAGCCGCAGCUUUGGGUUGUGGUGAGGGUAGCGGAA
rnacentral:rRNA from 1 species